rnacentral:rRNA from 1 species
AGGACGAACGCUGGCGGCGCGCUUAACACAUGCAAGUCGUACGGAGUUGUUCCUUCGGGGACAGCUCAGUGGCGAACGGGUGCGUAACACGUGAGCAACCUGCCUGCCGGUGGGGAUAACCCGGGAAACCGGGCUAAUACCGCAUUCGCUCUUGGUCUCGAUUGGGACUUUGAGGAAAGGUGCUGCAAGGCACUGCCGGCAGAGGGGCUCGCGGCGUAUCAGCUAGCUGGUGGGUAACGCCUACCAGGGCAACGACGCGUAGCCGAUCUGAGAGGAUGAUCGGCCACAUUGGGACUGAGAUACGGCCCAGACUCCGUACGGGAGGCAGCAGUGGGAAUCUAGCGCGAAUGGGCGAAAGCCUGACGCAGCGACGCCGCGGUGGGGAGAAGCGUUUCGGAGU